GUGAGAGCUGAACCAUCUUAAGUUGGACAGACAUGAUAGAGGAACAUGUGGUGGAUGAAUGAUUCGGCUACCCGAAAAGCCAUCUUCUGAAGCCCUGCCUUUUUUAUGCACUACUGACGGCAAAUACUUCAAGAUUGAGUCAGAGCCGCAGUCUCUGUGGAGGUCGCCCGCCCUGGGCUGCCUUGUCUUCAACGGUGCCCUUGCCAGGCUGCUGAGGAAGCUCUUGCUCGGUAUGCUGGGAACACACUGCCUGUUGGAAGAACAUCCCAUUCAGGAGCUGCGGUCUGUGCCAAAGCUCGACAGUCCCCACAAAGGCGCACAGGGGAGACCCAGAGAAGGAAAUGAAGAACAAAAACCCAGAGCCUGGCUGACACACACUGCCCAGGAGCCUUCUGUUACAGCAUGCUGUCUUCUGGCAAACGGACAAACAGACACAGGGCCACACAAGAGGAAUACGUUUCAAUGAGGAAAACUUUGUGCCAGAUAAGAAAUGAGAUAGAAUAAUAAAACUGGACAGAGAUAGUC
rnacentral:lncRNA from 1 species